UGCUUAGCUUCGCCGAUGCUCUGGCUCGGCUCUACAGCUGCUUUAAGGAAAACUUCGACUUGUUUGUUCUUUGUGUUAAUGGGGUCACAUUUGUUAGUUUUAUUGUCCUUUAGGUUAGUCUCUUUUCCUGUAGGGACAUGUAACUGGGGGAGUGUUGGAUAUUUUUAUCAUCUGAUAUUGGUAUUUUACUAUAUCAUUUAUUAGUACCUAUAUUAAUCUGGAUUAAUGGUCACAUUAUAUAUUAUUUGUCACCUAUAUUGUCCCUCACACACUGGAUCACUGCAUGCUUUAGGUGAGUGGAAAGGACUGAGGCCUGCUCUGCCCAGGGCCUUGAGUUUUUUCCACUAGUAGAACUGCCCUCAUUCAUAUUUAGAGGCUUACCUUUGUACACAGUGCACUUUUGACACAGCAUUGCGAGAGGGAAGGUCAAGUAGCAGGGAGUGUGUGUCCCGAAAAGGGGGGUUGAACUCCCACUAGAGCUACUGUAAUAAUGUAAGGGAGUACUGAGAUAAGACUGCCCAAAAGUGUUUCUAGUAAUGUGAAAAUAUGGACAGAAGGGCGGGGUAGUGCUCCGGUGGGAGGUGUUUUCACGUGGGAAAGUUGUUUGUUUUGGCAGCCCCCAGAGAACAAGUCAUGGAGCAAUUGCAUGAGGAUCGAACUAGUAUGUUCAUAGUGGAUUGGGAGCAUCCUUCUGUGCCCACUGGCCCUGAUAACAGCAGGGGGAGGUGUGAGUUUGAGCAAUAAAAGGCGGUGGUAAAGUUGGGAGGGGGGCACUUUUUGCUCUUCCUCUCUCCCCUUUGCAGCGGCUCCAAGGCUCUCACUCCCAGGAGGGUUUUUGCUUUCUUGUCCUCUGUUUAACUCUGGACUUCUACUUCUUCUUUCACCCCAUUUUACUCACUGUUUUCACUCAUUACUUUCUUCCACUCUUUUGUACUUUACUUCUCCCCUCUUGCUUUUUAACUUCACUCACUAACGGUCCUUUCCUCUCUUUCUACUCUUUUUGUUCCUGCAUCUUUUUGUGUGUGUGUGUGUGUGUGUGUGUGUGUGUGUUUCUCAGUCUCAACUAUGUUACUGUCUGUGUUUGGUCUUUGUCUGUGUUUUGUGUAACUAAGAUGUCUAAUAAACAGCCUUCACUGUGUGAACACACCGCUGUGAACAUCUCAUGAUGGAUUUCACAGAACUCUCACCAUCGGAGGGAAAGAAAUACUGCUUGGUUGUGGUUGACAUGUUUUCUAAAUGGGUUGAAGCUUUUCCAACUAAAUCAGCAGACAGCAGUGCAGUCGCCAAAGCUCUGCUGGCAGAGAUAUUCCCUAGGUGGGGAAUCCCAAACAAAAUCUCGAGUGACAGUGGUACCCACUUUGUAAACAAAGCGUUGACAGAAGUGAGUGAAGUUCUAGGUUUUCAGCUAAGAACUCACUGCGCAUAUCACCCCCAGUCGGGAGGGGCAGCAGAGCGUGAAAAUGGUCCCUUGAAAAACAAACUGGCCAAAUGUUGUGAGGAGACGGUAGCUUUCCAGAUGGGUUAAAGCUUUGUCACUAGUACUCAUGUACAUGCACAUGCAAAGAAGAGCAAGAACAAAUCUUUCUCUUUAUGAGAUCCUUUUUUGGGGAGGCCAUCCACAACCAAAAUCUUACUACAGAGUUGUAUGAGCAUGAUAUGUUAACGUACUGUCAGACUUUGUCAAAAGCUGUUUUACAGAACCGGGAGGCCACGAAGGCAGCACUUCCAAGUCCAGCAUCCAAACCCCUGCAUUCUAUACAGCCCGGAGACUGGGUGCUGAUUAAAGAGCACAGAAGGAGGUGCUGGAGCGCUCCGAGGUGGCGAGGCCCGUUCUUGGUUUUACUGACUACACACACUGCAGUGCAGGUCGCCGAAAGAGCAGCGUGGGUUCAUGCCAGCCACUGCAAACCCUUUCAAGGACAGCCCCAGCAGCUGCAGAAGAUCAAAUAUUGAGCUUACUGGAGUACAUUAAACACCAACAAGACCAAUUAACCACCAAAGUAAACUAUCUGACCAACACGCUGAACUCAGCUGUCCAGAAAGAGGAAUACCUGACCCUGUACAGUUUCCAUGAGGCAAGAAGUAUCACAUGGAACAUUCUUUCCCGCAUGUUCCACAGUGACGUUGGACAGAAGACAAAUUGGACGGGGACCAAUGGAAAGGAAAGUUUCUCCCAGAUGGCAUCAAAAACCGUACUCUUGAAUGCAGUAAGAAAGACCCACGUGUCCCAUGCUGCCACAGAAGAGGAGAUUCGGAAACACGCCAUAUGAUGGUUCAGUCUGGCAGCAGACAGAGGAAGAAGGCGACGUCCUCCUGUUACCGUCCCGAAUCAACUCUGAGGGCUUAAGUUUAUCUGUACUGUUGUUCCAAAAAUGGUUAUCUUUUGUCUGUUGAUGUUUUAAUGAUGUACAGUAAUGAAUCAAUGCAUCACCUGCUUAAUGAAUUUUAAUGGGAUGUGAUAGUUUUUCCUUUCUUUGACAUUUUACUUGUGCAAGUGGACACAUCGGGGGCAGAGUCAUUUUGCUAUCUGAGUAUGGAUUUACUGAGCUGGCUGAGAUCCUGCUGACUGAAGGAUGAAGUUUGUUCUUUCAGUCUGUUUACAUGUUUAUCUUCCACAGGAGGAAGCACUGUGGUGAAGUCUGCUUCACUGCACACUGGCUUUUUAAAGAAUCAGUCAGCCUUUUGCUGUUUUUGCUCUGGAUCUUUUCUGUUUACAUUUUAAUAGCACAGCUGCGAGUCUUUUGUUACGCAGGGAAAAAAAGCAUUAAUAUAUUUGAGGAGCACUAUUAUUUAAAUGUGCCAGUGGUUUAUUUUUGAGCAAUUUCUCUGUACAUCUACAGCUGAAUGUUAAUAAAAGUGUCUGUGUGACAUCUGGGACAUGUA